AGUGUUGAUUGUUCUUGUUCAUCAUUUAAUUUUAUAUUUUGUGGCUUGCUUGUUUUUGAAACUUCUAUGUAAUUCUCCAUGCUCUGUUUAGAUAAAUGAAUUUUGAGCAUGAGGUUGAAUUCAUGAUGAGGAGGCGAUCACAUUGGCGGUAGUCUCAUGUUCUAAAUUUGCCAAAUGAUGAAACUCCGAUGAGGGAUCAUCA
rnacentral:lncRNA from 1 species